rnacentral:rRNA from 1 species
GUCCCAGACUCCUACGGGAGGCAGCAGUGGGGGAUAUUGGACAAUGGGGGAAACCCUGAUCCAGCGACGCCGCGUGAGUGAAGAAGUAUUUCGGUAUGUAAAGCUCUGUCAGCAGGGAAGAAAGAAAUGACGGUACCUGACCAAGAAGCCCCGGCUAAAUACGUGCCAGCAGCCGCGGUAAUACGUAUGGAGCAAGCGUUAUCCGGAUUUACUGGGUGUAAAGGGAGAGUAGGUGGCAGAGCAAGUCCGAAGUGAAAACCCAAAGCUCAACUAUGGGAAUGCUUUAGAAACUGCUCAGCUAGAGUGCAGGAGAGGCAAGUGGAAUUCUUAGUGUAGCGGUGAAAUGCGUAGAUAUUAGGAGGAACACCAGUGGCGAAGGCGGCUUGCUGGACUGUAACUGACACUGAGGCUCGAAAGCGUGGGGAGCAAACAGGAUUAGAUACCCCUGUA